rnacentral:rRNA from 1 species
UACGUAGGGGGCAAGCGUUGUCCGGAAUCAUUGGGCGUAAAGAGCGUGUAGGCGGCCAGAUAAGUCCGCUGUGAAAUCUCGAGGCUCAACUUCGAGCUGUCGGUGGAAACUGUCUGGCUAGAGUCCGGAAGAGGAGAAUGGAAUUCCUGGUGUAGCGGUGAAAUGCGCAGAUAUCAGGAGGAACACCGGUGGCGAAGGCGGGUCUCUGGGCCGAUACUGACGCUGAGGAGCGAAAGCGUGGGGAGCGGACAGG